rnacentral:rRNA from 1 species
GUGGGGAAUAUUGGACAAUGGGCGCAAGCCUGAUCCAGCCAUGCCGCGUGUGUGAAGAAGGCCUUCGGGUUGUAAAGCACUUUUGUCCGGGAAGAAAUCUUCCAGGUUAAUACCCUGGGAGGCUGACGGUACCGGAAGAAUAAGCACCGGCUAACUUCGUGCCAGCAGCCGCGGUAAUACGAAGGGUGCAAGCGUUACUCGGAAUUACUGGGCGUAAAGCGUGCGUAGGUGGUUCGUUAAGUCUGCCGUGAAAGCCCCGGGCUCAACCUGGGGAUGGCGGUGGAUACUGGCGGGCUAGAGUGCGGUAGAGGGUGGUGGAAUUCCCGGUGUAGCAGUGAAAUGCGUAGAGAUCGGGAGGAACAUCUGUGGCGAAGGCGGCCACCUGGACCAGCACUGACACUGAGGCACGAAAGCGUGGGGAGCAAACAGGAUUAGAAACCCGGGUAGUCC